CACCUGGGGACACGCCCGGACAGGUGUGACCCCUCCCCCCCCUCGGGGGGGCGUGGCCGCCGCGCGCCGGGGACCUGGCCCAGGUGAGCCACGCCCUGGGCGGGGCCACGGAGCGGCUGGAGAGGAUCCUGACACACCUGGGGCAGGAUUUGGGGCCCCGCCCCCCCCGCGACCCCCGCGCGCUGCUGGAGCUGCUGGGGGCGGGGCUGCGCCGGGGGGCGGGGCCAGCGCCGGGACCGCCCCCCCCGGGACCCUGCCCAGGUGAGACCGGG